UUAAAAAGCUCGUAGUUGAACCUUGGGCCUGGCUGGCCGGUCCGCCUCACCGCGUGUACUGGUCCGGCCGGGCCUUUCCUUCUGGGGAACCUCAUGCCCUUCACUGGGCGUGUUGGGGAACCAGGACUUUUACUUUGAAAAAAUUAGAGUGUUCAAAGCAGGCCUUUGCUCGAAUACAUUAGCAUGGAAUAAUAGAAUAGGACGUGUGGUUCUAUUUUGUUGGUUUCUAGGACCGCCGUAAUGAUUAAUAGGGAUAGUCGGGGG
rnacentral:rRNA from 1 species